rnacentral:tRNA from 2 species
GGUCUGGUAGCUCAGCUGGAUAGAGCAACAGCCUUCUAAGCUGUGGGUCGCGGGUUCGAAUCCCGCCCGGAUCA